rnacentral:rRNA from 1 species
UACGUAGGGUCCGAGCGUUGUCCGGAAUUACUGGGCGUAAAGAGCUCGUAGGUGGUUUGUCGCGUUGUUCGUGAAAACUCACAGCUCAACUGUGGGCGUGCGGUCGAUACGGGCAUCACUGGAGUUCGGCAGGGGAGACUGGAAUUCCUGGUGUAGCGGUGAAAUGCGCAGAUAUCAGGAGGAACACCGGUGGCGAAGGCGGGUCUCUGGGCCGAUGACUGACGCUGAGGAGCGAAAGCCAGGGGAGCAAACGGG